UGCUCUCUUCCCUACUUCGCCACUUCAAACCCUCGCCUUUCGUUCCCUUUCCUUCGUGAAGUCUCCCUCGUGUUCUCGCCGCGUCGAUCCGUCCCUUCUAUCUUCUCCGGACCAGCGAUGGCAGCGUCCUCCUCCUCCGCCGCCGAGUCCAUCCGCAGGGAUCGGAUCCUACCCGGCAAGCUCUACUUCGACGGUCCCCCGUCCAAGGUGCUGGUGAUCUACUCGUCUUCCUACGACAUCGCGUUUCUUGGAAUCGAGAAGAUUGGUUAAGUAAAGAAGGUUUUUUUGGAGAAGAUACAAUCAGUAGAACCAUUAAAAGCUUCAAAAGAUGACUUACUAGUGGUACGAAGUGCUUCUGUGCUUACUUAAUAUAUAGAUCUACAUCUACUAGUGCCUCUUUUUAAUACAUGGGGUUAACAUGUUUUUCAAUCAGGUGCAUUCAGACUCAUUCUUGAAUUAAAAGUAGUUUAAAUAUUUCCAUUAUUAUUGAGGUGAUGCUUUUCCUCUGUCUUGGAUACAUAUAUCUUUUCUGAGGCAUAAAUAAUUUGAAUUUUUUUUCAAGAUAGUAUUGACUAUGGAUGAUGUAUGAGCAGAAAUUAUGCUACUUUCUCACAGGAGUCUGAUAUCUGGUGAUGUAAGAUAAUGUCAGUCAUAAAACUAUAAUAAUAUAAUUCUGAGUAGUAAGUCUAAGAAGUUUCAUCAUUUAGGAUGAAUUUUAAAUUUAGUCUAUAGAUCUCUAUUUCUUGUUCCAAUUAUGUACACGCAUCACAUUCAGACACAGGAUUCACACAAAUUACAAUUAACUCCCAUAACAAGCCUUAUAUAAGAGGGAAUCGGAUAUUGAUAAAGUAAAUUAAAAGGAUAUCUUAAGCUCGAGUUUUUGGUCAAGAAGUGAUAAGAUCUUAUAUGUUUCUCAGUUAUGCAUUACUGUUGUGAAUACAUCAGUGGCCUUUCUAUUUUGUACAAAUUUCCAAUGAAAAUAUAAUCAAGCAUGCUGUUUUUAGUAGCUUGGUUUUGUACCAUUAUUUUGUUACUCUCAUUUAAGAAAUUCUUCUUCAUCUUGUUGUUCAGCCUUCAUUUUCGAUCAUGUAACCGCCUAUCUUGUUCACGCUUCCCAUCAGAUACAUGAGCAAAUACCAUCCAAAAUCCAUAUUUCGUUACAUUAGAUAUCUUCUUCCUUUCUUUAACAGUAUCCUUUGCAGCUGAGAAUUUUCCUUGAACUCAUGCUUACAAUGAAGGUUUAGCAGAGGUGUGAAUUGAGUUAAUGUCUGUAUUCAAAAUUUCAAAUAAUUACUUUGCUUUA